CCGAUUGAUUUUUCUCCUAAUCAGCAUGGAGAAUGCAUUUCGCUGUAAUUAAAUCCUGUGUAACUGGGCACUCUGUGUUCGCUUGUCUCCGAGCUCGCCGUGCUAUGAGAUACAGCACAUCAAACACCGCACUGUACGCGAUAGGCACCCUGCCAGCCCGGCAGCGAUUAUGCGAGCUCGCCUUCCGUGUGCUUACAAAUGAGCGGAGCUGGAGCACGUAUGGAGCAGCGCGCAUCGCUUGGGAGACGCAGGAAAGUUACUAGGGGAGGAAGACGGCCAGAGGGGAGGCUCAGCUCUCCCCUCCUCCUCUCCCAGCCCGUUCCGCAGCACCGAGCCCCGGCUCCAGGCUUGAAUCGGGGGCCUCAAAGCGGGGAGCGGUGGGGGCGGCUCUCGGCCCCGCGGCGCUCUGGGGGGCUCCGGCCGCAUCCUGCCCGCUCAGCGCGCUGCCGCUCGUCGCUCCCCGGCCGCGGGGAAGCAGCCCGGCGGAUAAUUACCCCUCGCUGCAAUCCGCAGAGCUGGCCUAAUCCGAAAGCUCAAGUGCCCGAUGAAGGCUGCAGCGAGGCACGGACACCAGUGAGGACAACGGUGUUGCAGUGUGCAAUGGGGAACAGGGGAGAGGCGCAGGCUCCUUGGCAUGGCAGUGGGUGAAAGACAGGUCUCUCAUUUCCAUCAUGGCUCCCAGCAGCCAGAAAAAGGGCUGAUCUGAUGGUUUCUUGGCACAACAGGUGAGAGCACAACAUAAAUCCAUCCUGACGAAUUUCACAUUCAUUAACAGGUUGCUUGAAGAGCAGGCAGCACUCUUGCUUUUGAGAUGCAACUAAAUGCUGAUAUGGGAAGGCGUGUUAUCAGAGCAGCCAUUGGCUGCUUGUGCUAAAGCUGCAGUGAAACCCAUUUAUUUGAAUUGCUUCUUUAUUCUGGAAGAAAGCUGGGGAAGGGUGAGAGAGAGGUAGUUCUACCAGCUCCGUGUGCACCUGCACUGCCUGAGCACACCAACCUCAGAGGCUGCAGGAACAUCCCCAAACGGUGCCAGGACCACAAGUGCACACGAUGCAGCCAUGCAAGAGCACCCAGCAAUUCCUGGCUGCACGGGCAUCUCCAGGGCAUGUUGCGUUUCAACAACAAGAAAAUGAGAGAACAGCCAGGGCUCUCCAACCCAGAGCUGGCAGGAGACACUGUUCUGGUAGUUAUUUAGGCAGAAAAUCUGUUGUCAACUUUUUUUUCCCACCAGGACCAUCAAGGUGCAUUCGUGCGGGCCAAUUUGUUUGCUUUCAACCUGGCACACCGCGAGUCUUGGAAGCCCUACAUUUACCUUUUCUUCUUUAAGCACUUUAAUUAUCAUCACUGACCUGUUGGGCAUACCUACAGUAUCGAUGUCCUUUUUACAACGUCACCUUCCCUUUCUCUGCGUGUUUCUGCCAUUUAACACUUGCUACCUUUGCCAUUAGAGUCCUAGAGUGACCCCCAUGGGUAUCUCUGAAAGAAAGCCCCUCUGCAUUCCUGCACUGUCUCCUUACCCAAGUAAUAGCAAAGGGACCAUUCAGACACAUGGACCACACUGAAGCAUUAAUUAGGCUGAUGAAAUCCAUAGAAAUGUAUGGAUUCAGCAUAAUCGAGUUUCUUCUGCUGACUAUAGUUAAGGAAUACGUGAGCAGCUGGGAGAAUAGAAAGUACUGUUAGGGUGAAGUCAUGCAUGUAAUUGAGUAUAUUUAACAUAACCAUUUUAAUGAUCGGUGAUUAAAAGUGCAUCUACUUAAA